AAUAAUAAUAAUAAUAAUAAUAAUAAUAAUAAUAAUAAUAAUAAUAAUAAUAAUAAUAAUAAUAAUAAUAAUAAUAUAAGGGCAUGUAUCGGAGUUUCUAAACUCUACUUUGCUUUGCGUACUUGUCCUCCUAGUAUUUUUGAGGCUGCUCAGCGCACUUUUGACGAGGCUCUUCGUUCUUCUUUGGAGCGUAUUGUUAAUGCUUCGGGGCCUGGCUUUGGUGAUUGGCAGUGGCGACUUGCCACCUUACCUUUUUCUUUUGGCGGACUUGGUGUUUAUUCUGCGGGUGAUGUUCGACAUUAUGCUUUUCUUGCUUCUCGGUUGCACUCUUCUGGUUUGCAGACACAACUUCUACGGCAUGCUGAUAUUGUUGGUCUUGAUCGAGCAUUUGAAGAUGCUUUGAGUCUAUUUAGUGGAACGGUGGAGUAUGACAUUCCGAGUAACCCUAGUGAGGUCGCUGCCCCUAACUUUUGAAAAAAUUGACAGAUAUAUAUUUCACAAAGGUUACUGCAUCUGCAGAAUCCACCUUCUCUUUAUCGUCUCGGCAGUUGGCGUUAUGGAAAUCGCAGCAGGGAGAUCACACCUCUGCCUGGCUUCAUGUGGUCCCCAUAUUAGGUUUGGGACAGACGAUGAAUGCUAAGGCUUAUCGGUGUGUGUUGUGUUACCGGUUGAGGGUUCCUUUGUUCUCUGUUACGGUGCCGUGUUCUGCUUGCUCCAGGGUCUUUGCGGGAGACAUCUUUGGUGAUCAUGCGGUGUCAUGUGUUAGCAUCGUGGGUAUUAAACAUCGGCAUAAUGUGGUUCGGGAUACCCUUGUUGAUGUUUGUUAUCGGUCUGGGAUCUCGGUGCGGAAAGAGGUUGAUAUUGGUCUAUCUGGAGGGAACGAUGGAGCUCUCCGACCAGAAGACGUGUUGCUCUACUCUUGGGAUCGGAGCUGUGAUGUGUGUGUUGACUUGACGGGAUCUUCUCCUUUCACAGUCUGGGUUGUUUGGCUUUGCCCCGGGCCGGGUUGUGACUGAUGCGGCUAUUCGGAAGCGGGUCAAGUACGAAGCACGUUGCAGGGUCAUUGGUUAUGGCUUUCUUCUGUUCUCUUUCUCUUCUUUGGGGGAGCUGGAUAAGGAUGUUGUUGCAUUGCUGAAGCGGAUUCAGAAAUUUUCUAGGACGCAGGAUAUUGGGGCUCGUGCUGCUGCUCAUAUUUUCACUAGGAUAGGUUUCGCUAUAGCCAGAGGAGUGGGGGCCCAGAUUGUAUCUCGGUUGCCCACUAAUUAUUUGUAAAGUGUUUGACUUUGUUUGCAUUUGAUUUGGUGAAAUAAUAAUAAUAAUAAUAAUGAUAAUAAUAAUUAUUAUUAUUAUUGUUAUUGUUAUUGUUAUUGUUAUUAUUAUUAUUAUGAAAUGCCCCCGAGGUUUGCAAAAACGCACCAAAUACCCUCGCGUAAUUUGAAUCACAUAAUAUACCCCUAUUUUUUCCCAAGUUUGCACCAAAUACCCCUAAACCGACCUUCCGUUAGUCCUCCGUUAAGUCGUGUUUAUAAUUCACAGAAUACCCCUAUUUAUAAAUUUAUUGCACAAUAUACACCUAUUUUGAAACUAAGUUGCACCAAAUACGCAAAAUGCUUUUAAACUGCAGAAUUUAAUUUCCACAAAGCGUUCACCUAAUUAAUCAAAUUAAUCAACCAAAAAGUUAAACCUAAAACAUGAAAUAGAAGUAAUAAUCAAAGAAAAUUGAAAUGCUCAAACAACAAAUCCAAUAAGAAAUUGAUUGAAUUGAACUUGAUGCAACUGUUCGAGGAAUUCAUUAUCUUAUACGGGGAAACUAAUCUAAUGGUUUUGUAGUAAUUGAACUUGAUGCAACUGUUCGAGAAGCUGCUUUACAGGGUUUGUUGGAGCUAGCACGUGCAAAACUUGAUGAGACCACUGGACAGUCAAUGAGCGAAGAUGAUAAAUUGAAGCAGCUGCUUGAAGAACGUAUUCAAGGCAUCAUCUUGAUGUCACAGGAAGAGCUUGAGGCUGCCAAGGAAGAUAGGCAACUGGUUGAUUCAUUGUGGAACACUUGUUACAACAAGCCUUCUUCGCUUAGGGAGAAAGGUCUUCUUGUACUUGCCAAGAUUUGCCUCCACCUGAUGUUGCCAGCAAACACUUUGAACCUCCUCUUCGAGCUUGGGCUGCGAAACGUGAACCUAAGAAACCUUCUGAGCGAAAAGAAAUGCAUAAACAAAUGCAUACUAGUCAUACCCAUUCUUGCAGCAGGUGCGGCACUGCAACACACAAAAAAGUACCAUUAGCACUAACCUCAAGCAUCUACCGAAAGCCUCACAGCAGGUUCUAUCUUGUACAAAAUUUUCACGAAGGUAUUAUUCUGAUAUAAACAAAUAUUCUCUUGCAACAUAAGAGAAAUCAAGCUCAAAGAAUCAUCAAAAUUAGUCUCAAUAAUUCGGUAGUUCCAUAUUGGUUCAAUUUUAUUGAACUUAACAAUAUCCACCCACUAUUCUUUAAACUUUGCAUACAGAUCAGUUAUAAAGUCAGUCCGAUCAACAUAUUUUCUCAUAUACAUGUAAUUAACAACCCAACUUUUAGCCUUAUCAAACAUGUGUUGUGAAGCCAAGUAGCUAACUCUACUAUUUCAUCUUCAAGAAUAUAGCAAAGGUUCUUUCUACAUUUCUGUAUUCAAAUUCUAGGAUUAGACCCAUAAAAGAUGGGAAAUUCUGGGUUACAUACAUACCAAAGAGGCUGAUUGAAUGAUCUCUAAUUCACUAGAUUUUCUUGGAGAUUUCUUGAUUCUUUUGUUUCUCCUGAAACCUGAUUACUAAAACAUGUAUGCAACAAACCUACAAUCAAGCAUUCAAUCCCCGUAAAAUUCUAAUUUUUGGCAAAAAGAUAAAUUUACAAACUCAACACAAAUAUGGUUCAUAAUAGCAGCAAAUGUAUUAUGUUUGAAUUCGAAAAAUCAGUCAAUUUACUCUAAUAGUCUAUCACUUCCACCGACAACAACAACAACCAGAAAAUUGACAGCAACAACAACAAUGGCAAGAAAAAACAACAACAAUCAACACUGAAAUCAAUAAAUAGCAGCAAAUGGAUUAUGUUUUGAUUCGAAAAAAACAAUAAAUUUACUCUAAUAGUCCAUCAAUUCCCAACAACAACAACCAGAAAAUUGAAAACAAUAACAACAAAAACCAACAACAAUGACGACAACAACAUUCAACACAAAUCAAUAAAUGCAAUUCCAAUCUAGUCAAGGAGAGAAGGAGAGAGUGGAACCUCACGACGGGCAAAUUCGACAGCGGCGAAUAAGGACGUCGGAAAGGGGAAGGAGAGAAUCGACUUCCGUCGGCGGCCAGAGAGCAGGAGUCGGACGCCGCCGGCGACCAGAGAGCAGGAGGAAGAACAUCGGAGAGGAGAGAGAAAGAUAAAGAGAAAGAAGUUGAGAUUUUUUUAUUUUUUUUUGGAAUUUAUGUCGAAAAAUACGUAUUAAGGGUAAAAUAGUAAAACACGACUAACGGCAGACUAACGCCGUUAACUCAAAGGUGCAUCUCAUGAACAGUACGCAAAAAUAGGGGUAUAUUAUGUGAUUCAAAAGACGCGAGGGUAUUUGGUGCUUUUUUGCAAACCUCGGGGGCAUUUCAUGAAAAAACCGUUAUUAUUAUUAUUAUAAUAAUAGUAGUAAUAAUAAUAAUCUCGACAUUUUAAAUGUGUUGAUUCGAAGGCUCGUUACAAAGCCUGUGUUGAUAGUGACUUUUGUUUAUUCUUUGCUUUGGACUCUACGCUUCAUCAGGUUGGCAUUUGGCUUUGUGGUGAGUGUUUUUGUACUCAUGCUUACAGUAAGAGUUGUAAGCAUGCCGAUAGUGUUGUGGUUUUUGCCCCUAAUUUUGAUGAAAUUGCAAUCCAUGGUAUCCCCGAGCCUUCUAUGUCGGGUUUGGUGGUUGUUGAUGGUGCGAUCGAUAUUUCUAUUUGUACUCUUGAUAGGGGUCGUAGCCUUGGCAUUGGAGAGUUGGGGGUGUCUUCUUCUUCUUUUCCAGCCAAUACUGAUUUGUUGCAUAAAGUUUUGGCGGGCCAGUGUCGUACCGUUAAAAGUAUUCCCAAAGCUAACCGACUUGGCUUUUCUCGGUGCCUUAAAGCUGCUCUUGACAAAGUCGUUGCUUCCCCGCGAGACCUUGCCUCAUGGAUCCUUUUUCUCCUUCUCCCUUAUGCACCCUUAGGGUUUUUCGGUCACGCGCCAAUAACAAAUCAGGGAGGAAGGGUUGUUGUCAGGUUGAAGGUAUUUCACGGGCUCUUCGGGUCUGGAGAGAGCCAGGUGGUCCUGAGACUUUGGUUAAAGAGCUUCUCAAAGAAGGUGUUCGUCGGUCGGCUACUUUGAAGGUUGAGGGUGAGUUUGCGAGGAAGAAAGCUAGUUUUGAAACGAUGAACAUGAAGCAAUAUAUGAGGAAAGUCAGUGAUGGGCGUUUCACUGAUGCUGUUAUGGUCUUGACUUCAUCGGGGGUUGCACCCAAGAAUGAAGAGACUUUAGGGGAGUUGGAGAAGAAGCACCCCAGUGCGUCGUGUCCAAUUUUUCCUACCUUUUGUGCUGAUGUUGAGGCGGUUUCGGCUACUAAGUAAUGUUUUAAGCAGGAUUCGUAGUUUUCCUAAGGGAACAUCUUGUGGUCGUGAUGGUUUUCGGGCUCAACACCUUGUUGAUACGCUUGGUAAGGCCGCUGUUGCAGUGGUUGAUGAUUUAGCCACCUCUAUUACCGCGAUGGUUAAUCUGUUACUUGCCGGUCUUUGUCCUGCUAAUUUGGGUGAGUUUAUUGCUAGUGCCCCACUUACGCCCUUGCUCAAGCCCGGGGGUGGGAUUCGACCCAUUGUUGUGGGGACGGUAUGGAGGAGACUUGCCACCAAGGUUGCUGCUGUCAUGGUCAGGAAGGACGUUGGAAAGUAUCUUGAUGUUUUUCAGUUUGGGGUUGGUGUGCCCAACGGGAGUGAGGCUAUCCUCUAUGCCGUCAACAGAUUGGUUGAGGCUAAAGGAGGUGUGCAAAACAUGUAUAUGCUUCUAGUUGAUUUUAGCAAUGCCUUUAAUAUUGUAGACCGAAGCACUAUGCUUAGAGAGGUUCGACGUCGAUGCCCUUCGCUCUCUCCUUGGGUUGAAUUCUGUUAUGCGCGGCCCGCACGAAUUUACUAUGACGACUCUAUCUUGCUCUCUUCCCAGGGAGUUCAACAGGGUGAUCCUUUGGGGCCUUUGUUGUUUGCGCUUACCUUGCAUCCACUUAUCCAUAUCAUCAACGAGAAAUGCAACCUGGAUUUGAUGGCUUGGUACCUAGAUGAUGGUACCAUUAUUGGAAACACUUGGUUUCGUCUGCUUUGCAUGUGAUCACUACAGAGGGUCCGACGAUGGGGCUGCACCUCAAUGUUGAGAAAACCGAAAUCUUUUGGCCUACUCCAGAUCCGAGGAGCUACGAUCCCACACUUUUCUCUUCGAAUUAUGUCCGCCCAUUGGACGGGGUCAAACUUCUUGGCGGUCAAGUCAGCUUCAAUGCUGAUUUUUGCAGUCGCUUGAUAGAGGAUAGGGUGUCAAAAGCUGUGGUUUUUAUGGAGGCAGUUGCUGGCCUUAAUGAUCCUCAAUCGGGGCUCCUCCUUCUACAAAGUUGUGUGGGUGUCAGCCGUUUGUACUUCUCUUUACGGACUUGUCCCCUACAUAUUAUCGGGUAAGCUCCUCUUACGUUUGACCAUGCCUUAAGGAAGGUUCUCCAGGAGAUUAUUGUGGAUGGAGCUUGUGGCUUUGGUGAUUGGCAGUGGCGCUGUGCCAUUCUGCCUUUUCGGUUUGGUGGAUUUGGGGUCUAUAUCGCGCAAGAUGCUUCCGAGUACGCGUUUGUUGCCUCGCGUCUGUGUUGGAAAUAAAGCUUGAGAAAGAAGUCCGACCGAUGGUCAUCGGGCGGUGGCGCCCGAUCGGGCGCGCGUAUAAUGUGAAAAUGGGCGAGUAAUUCGCCCGAUCGGGCGGUUGUUGCACGUCGGGCGGUGGGCGCCUGAUCGGGCGGACCAUCCGUGUAACACCCCGACAAUUCUCCUUUUUCUAAAAUAACCCUUUUUAUAAAUAUAACUAUAGAGAAUUAUCAAAGUAUUAUCGCCCGUGUGAAAAUGUAACGGCUUAUUCAGAAAUUUGCAGCGGAAAACAUAAAACUAACUUUAGGUUUAUAAAUAAUCAAUUACAGAAUUAAUCCCAAAAACCAAUCAACGAAAAUAAGGAAAUGUAAAUAGUACGACAAGUUUAAAGUCAAAUUUAACAAACCCAAGUCACUUAGCAAAACAAAAUAAAUACAAGCUCUCUAAUCCCGAUCCGAAUGAUGCAUCAUCUUCAAACCUGUAGAUGAGCAACGCUUAUUGAUCUUUAGAGACUGCUCACCAAAAUGGAUCAUCACAGGAUCAAUACGGCAUAGCCAUGAUCAACACACACAAACAUCGCACGUAAUCAGCAAAGUUGAGUACUACAUACUAAAACAAUAAUAAUCCUAACAUGAUUCUAUUAAACGAACAACCCUAACAUGAUACUAAUAAAACAUAAGUAAGGAUCGAUAACCAAAACAUAUUAACUUGAAACUAUAUUUGACUGAACUAGACCUUUGUAUCAUUAACAUUAUUUUAAUUGAAAUAGUCAAUGGACUGAGUUGUCUACUAGAAGCCUUCACUAAAGAAGACGAGGUAUGGGCGUGACUCCGUAACUCCAAUGACCUGCGAUAUCGAGGAACUUUUGAAUAAAAUAGAACCGGUGAUCAAUCCGGCCCCAGAAAAAGCCAUAGGCGACCCAUGACCCCAACUCCUAAUUGUCCGUCACUUCAGAAGUGCACAGUCUAAAGCUAUUGCUACUCAGUUUUAAUUUACAUGAUUUACAAAUUGACACCCUAUUAUGACUCAACAAUCACAUAAGGCAUACAAUCCACAUUUAUUCACAACUGUUUUUAUCUUGGAAUUAAGUAAGUGAUCACAAAGGUAUCAAACAAGACUCAUUCCAAUUAAAUCCAACCUUUCCUUUAAUACUGAUCAACCCCUCUAUAUGGGUAUAAGGUUUCAACUUACUAAACAAGGUCCACGGCCCUCAUAAAGUAGUGAAAAACUAAAAGGGAACAAUGAACAAUCGAUCUGAAUCAAUAUAUAUAAAAUAAUCUAGUGUUCCCAAUCCAACAUGUUUGCAUCAAUCAUCUACUAACAUGUUAUAAUCCUUGUAACGAAAUACAUAUGUUCAACAUGUCCAUCCAACAAUAUUAAACAUGAAAUUCCGACAUAAUCAGGUUCAUCAAUAAAUUUCAACUUGGUUUCAACAGAUAACGCACAUUCUAAGCACAUAGGUAUGUAAGUACCUUGUGGAAACAAACUGAUAGGCCACUUUAACACUUUCAAAAGUCGCCUAAAGAGAAUUCUCCGCCUAAAACAAUCAACAAAUAUUCCCAAUCAAUUUCUAAUCAUUCGCAACCAUAAUAAAGCAUUCUAAAUACAUCCUAAAUGAAGGAAAUAAUACCCUUGGUGCAAGUAUUCAUUUAAUGUUAAGUCUAAUAAAUGCGGUUCAGUGUUAAUCAUACAAGUUAAUAAUUCAGUGAGAUCAAGUGAACUGUAUGCCUAGCUAGAGGCCGCUUCAGUUCAAGUGGAAUUAAUGAUAUUAAUCCACAGCUUACUCUUGACUGAACCCGUAGGGUCAUACAAAUAGUACUUAAACGGAUCAAGUAUUUAAUGGUAUUAAAUACUCCAUCUAUGGAUAUUCGGAAUCGACGGAUCUUGGUUCCAGUGGGAGCUGAGAUCGUCAAAGGCAAAUUAUGAAUACUCCGGAAACGAUGAUAUUGCCGGAAACGGAAAUAUGGAUCGUAUCGGAAAUAUAAAUAUUAUCCAAGUCGCAGAUGUUGCCGGAAACAGAAACAUGGUACGUAUCGGAAAAUAUUAUCGGAAAAGGAAAUAUUGCCGGAAUCGGAAAUAUUGCCGGAAACGGAAAUAUUGUCAGAAUCGGAAAAUAAUUCCGGAAACGGAAAUAUUAAAUAUUUGUUCGAAACGGAAAUUAAUUCCGGAAUCGGAAAUGUUAAAUAUUGUUCGUAUCGGAAAUGAAUUCCGGAAUCGGAAAAUUAAUCGGAAGCGCGUCGUACGAAUAAGCAUCGGACGAGCUUGUUAGACGAAGGCCCAGCGCGAAUCCAGGCCCACGUCCAGCAAGCCCAACGCGCGUCACAGCAGCCCAAGGCAACGCCAGGCCCAGCGCAAGGCCAUGCCCAACGCACCAAGGCUGCGAGCACAUGGCAGCGAGCUCGUAUGGGCUGCGAGGCCUGCUGCGGGCUUUGCGUGCGCGCGGGCAUGGCCUGCUCGCAUGUGGGCCAUGCUCGUGUGCGUGUUAGAGUUUGUGCAUAAUUCGAAUGCUUAAGUGAUUAGGAUUAGAUUAAUUUUCUGAUUUACUAGUUUUAAUGGAACUCUAAUUCUAAAAGAAUUAGGAUUCUUAAAGUCCUAGUAGAAUUCCAAUACCAUAUUCCUUCCCUAUAAAUAGGUGAUCAUAGUUCACAAUUUAUAACGAGUAAUUCAAAUAUUCAUUCAAGUUUUAGGCUUAAAACUCAGAUUUUUAUUUGUCAUAAAAUCCGAAAAAAUACAUAGUAACUUAGUGCAAUUCUAGUUAAUUAAAUCUAACGUGGAUCCGAGCGUGCUGUGCACUAUCUACGGAGGGACGACAUUUGGAGUCCUAGACUUGUUCUUGUUCGGUUCGGGCACAGCUAGGGAGGGCACGCUACAAAUAGACCUGGUUAUCGGGCGGGUCGGGUCAGGGUCGGUGCGGGUCAAAAGAGGGUUGGGUAUUGAAAGGGUCGUUUUUAGCGGGUCGAUAAUGGGCGGGUCAAAAGCGGGUCGCGGGUCAAUAGCGGGUCAUUAGUGGGCGGGUCAAUAAAGCAAUGAAAAAUGAAAAAAAAGAGCCAUGUGCAAGUACAAGUGAGUACGAAGCUAUACACGUAAUUUUUUGUAUCAUUACUAUUUUAAUUUUCAAAAUAAUUGUAGUAUAAGUUUGACCCUAUAACGACCCUGUCCAAUAAAGGCCCUGUCCAAUAAGAGCCCUGGCCAAUAAAAGCCCUAUUAACUUGACCCUAACCCUAUAUCCAUUGGACUACCCUGUCCAAUAACCAGGUCUAGCUACAAAGAGUAUGCCUCAUAAAUUAUGCUAAUUGUUAUGUGGCAAUUAAUUUGGAUUCCUGGCUUUAUGGUUUUUCCGCAUGAUUUAUAUUCAGUUAUAUGUAUCAUAACCUAACAGUAGUAUCACGAGCCUCUAAUUAAUUCCAUAAAAUUGCUUAACAUGGUUAAAUUUUAUAAAUUUGCAAGGAAUUAAAAGGGGUGAUUAAUUUCGUAAUUGUAAUUAAUUGCAAAUUUGCGAUUAUUUAAUUAUAUGUUCGCAGUGUUUCGGCAGCUUCUUCGUUUCUCAACGAAAUCGAGUGAUUUUUGUGUCAAUUCUGUAUGUACAAGGCAUUCUAAAAUUCUGACAAAAAUACUAUUUUUCGGCCUAAUCCAGAAUUCCCAAUUUCGAAGCCUAACUAUGACUUUUCGGAGGUUUUAGUUUUCCGAACGCUAAAUUUGAAAUUUUUAAGAUGUUAAAUUAAAUAUUUGCGCUUCUUGUUGUUAAAUCUUGAAUUUUUGAUUGACCUACUGUAUAUGUUUAACAGAUUUAAGUGCCUAAGCUUGUUAAUUAUACAACCUAAUUUGUAACUGUAAUUAAUUUGUUGAAAUUCGAAUAAUUUAGAAUUUGAUUUGAUUUUCAUAAUUAAUUGACAAUUUAAUUAGGUAUACAUGAUUAAAAACCACCAUAAAAAUUGUUAAUUUUGAUAAAUUUUAAAUUUUUAUGACCUAGAUUUGAGUCCAUGAUAAUCGGAAAUUAAUUGAUAAAUAAAUUUUCGAUUUUUCGCCCUAAAUUUAUGAAAUUAAUAUUAUUUAUUAAUUUGUCUAUAAAUUUGAAUUAAAAAGUUUUAAUUUUUAUAUAAUUCGCUCAUGAAUGUUGCACGCACAAAGCAAAGGAAGCUACGUGUUACCCUUAAGGUGUGUUGUAUAGUGCGGGCAUGCGACGACGAGUAAGGGAGCUCGUCGCCCAUGCGGUACGAAUGCAGCGAGCAACAAGCAAUGGCGCGCGCGCAAGGCAGUGAUGCCUGGGCAUGUGUGCUGCGCGAUGGGCGAUGGGCGAUGGGGGCAAGGCACAAGCCGAGCGAGCAGACGCGUGUGGGCAGCGAUGGAUACUGCGCCACAGCGCGCGCUGCCUCACCGAGUGAGGCGGGCUGCGCGCAUGCUUGGCCUGGGCUGGCUGCGAUGCGUGUGGCCUGCUCGUGCAUUGUUGUGCGAUCAGUCGUUGGGGCGCUGCUGCCUCGUGACUCGAUGGGGCUUGGGCGCAAGCCCAAGUGCCUCGUCUUGUUACGAUUGAUGCGUUUUGAAUUUAAUUUUAAAUUUUCAGUUCGGAAACGAUUUUAAUUAACUUUAAAAUUCCUAAUUUAAAUUGUUUUCUCGGAAUUUAAUUUUGAAUAAUAUAAUUAUUAUAAAUUCUAAUUUAUACUAAUUAUUUUACUAAAAUUAAAACCUUGAAUAAAUUUAAAUUUAUUUAUUUAAUUCAACUGAAAAUACAUUAAAGGAUUCAAUUAAUAAUUUAUUUGAGCUUUAAAUUUUAAUUAAAUUUGUAUGUUUCCGGUUAGACUAGGAAAUACAAUUUUAUGUUUAAAAUUAGUAAAGCAUGUAAAUUUAUUGGUUUAAGUGGGAGCGUUUUAGUCAUAAAUUCUUGAUUAGGUCUACAUUCCUUUAAGGUUAAAACGACUUGAUUAGAAUUAAUAAGGAUUGAAUAAUUGGUAGAUUAUUGGAACCCUUGAUUAAUUACUGCAAAUAUUUAUGUAAUGCAUAAUAUGUUCUACUAACCAGCUAUGUGGGCCAUUCAUUGAUAAAUGAAUGGGUGAAUGGUAUAUAUUGUAUAUGUACUGUUUUGCAGGUUGCAGAAAAGUGACUAGUAUGGCCCAAAUAGGAUAGAAAAUAUGGCCUGCGUACUAUUAAUUUGAAUGUAAUAUUGGUCUAAUGCACCAAAGUUUUUAAUUUAAAUAUGGUCUGCGUACCAUCAAAUAGUUGUAAUUAGUUUAAAUUAUAGCUUAUCCUAUUUGAAGAAAAUGACGCCUCCCAUGGUGAAAUUCAAGACGGAGUUUCCAAUCCAUUUUCAAGACGGACUUUGAAGUUGAAUCUUCAAGAUGAAUUCGGGCCAUACUAGAUCACAUUUAUUGUAAUCCCCCAUAAUUUUAUAUAUUUUGUUUAUAUAUUUUAACGUAUAUUAAUAUAUUUAAAUAUAAUUUACGGAUUUCAGAAAUGAAUAUGUAAUUAAAAUAUAAUUAUUUUAUUUCAUUUUGAAUACUUUUAAUGAUUUACGAAAUCAAAAUGUAUAUUUGAAUUUUACGUUAAAACGAUUUCGAAUUACGAAACCACGUUCUAUUGAAAUUAGAAAGCAAUACUAAACAUUGUGGAUUCAUCAACCUAAAUCCUACUCCUAGCCCAAUUGGGCAAAGCCCAAACCAAUAAACCCAACUAAAUACUCCCUCCUCUUCUCUACUCUUACGUGAAACCAAAAGAAGAAAAAAAAAUAAAAGAAAAGAGAAACCCUCCUUCAAUUCACGCACAACUCAGCCAUCUCUCCUUCCUCCCCUCCACGCCGUCGCCCACUGCCGGACCACCACCUGCACCGACGACCACCGUCGACCCUCGUGGUAACUCCUUCUUCCUCUCCCUUCUUUCGGUUGUCUUGCCCUGCUCCUCCUCGUCGUUUUUCCCCUCCUUAACGGUGUUAUUGGUUUCACAACACCACCUUUGCGCCUAGCCGCGCCGCUGAGCCACCGCCUUCGCCGCCGCCUCCGCGAGUCUCUUCGCCACCCGCACAACACCACCUUCGUCAGCUCAAUCGACCGUCGCUGCCGCGCCGCAAAGUCUACCGCCGGCCAGCCUCCUCCUCAUUCUCUCCUUGUGGUGGAGAAUUCUCUGUAGGCGACUUUUGAAUUAUUAAAGUGGUCUUGCAGUUUGUUUACACAAGUCUCUAAGGAUCAAUAAGCGUUGCCCAUCUACAGGUUUGAAGAUGAUGCAUCAUUGGGAUCGGGAUUAGAGAGCUUGUAGUUCUAUUCGUUUAAUUAAGUGAUUUAAUUUGUUAACUUGGAUUUGAAAUUUGUCGUACUAUUCGUAUUUCCUUAAUUCAGUUAAUUGGUUUGGACCUAAUAUGUAAUAGAUUAUUUAUGAACCUAAAAGUUAGUUUUAUGUUUUCCGCUGCAAAAUUCUGAAUAAGCCGUAACGUUUUCACACGGGCGAUAAUACUUUGAUA